rnacentral:rRNA from 1 species
AUUGAACGCUGGCGGCAGGCCUAACACAUGCAAGUCGAACGAGUGGCGGACGGGUGAGUAAUGUCUGGGAAACUGCCUGAUGGAGGGGGAUAACUACUGGAAACGGUAGCUAAUACCGCAUACCAUCAGAUGUGCCCAGAUGGGAUUAGCUAGUUGGUGGGGUAACGGCUCACCAAGGCGACGAUCCCUAGCUGGUCUGAGAGGAUGACCAGCCACACUGGAACUGAGACAAGGGCCAGACUCCUACGGAAGGUAGCAGUGGGGAAUAUUGCACGAUGUGCGAAAGCCUGAUGCAGCAAUGCCGCUUGUAUGAAGAAGGCAUUCGGGUUGUAAAGUACUUUCAGCGGGGAGGCGUUACCCGCAGAAGAAGAACCGGCUAACUCCGUGCCAGCCGCCGCGGUAAUAC